rnacentral:rRNA from 1 species
CCUACGGGAGGCUGCAGUGAGGAAUAUUGGUCAAUGGGCGAGAGCCUGAACCAGCCAAGUCGCGUGAGGGAAGACGGUCCUAUGUAUUGUAAACCUCUUUUGCCGGGGAGCAAAACGCGGUACGUGUACCGCAUCGAGAGUACCCGGAGAAAAAGCAUCGGCUAACUCCGUGACAGCCGCCGCGGUAAUACGUGGGAUGCGCGCGUUAUCCGGAUUUAUUGGGUUUUAAGGGUGCGCAGGCGGCGUGUUAAGUCAGCGGUAAAAUUUCGGGGCUCAACCCCGACAAGGGGUGGAGACUGGCUUGCUGGAGUGGGCGAGAGGUAUGCGGAAUGAGUGGUGUAGCGGUGAAAUGCAUAGAUAUCACGAAGAACUCCGAGUGCGAAGGCAGCAUACCGGCGCCCAACUGACGCUGAGGCACGAAAGCGUGGGUAUCGAACAGGAUUAGAUACCCUAGUAGUC